GAAAAUUCCCCACUUUAGUUGGAAGCAGUCAGCGGAGAGCGAGCGACCGAUCGGAGAAGCUGCGGAGAAAUUGAGGACAAGGAGGUUGGAGCUCAGAUUUAGCCGAGGAGGAACCGCUGCAAGGCAAGACUGUGCAUAUCAGUCUUCUCUCUCAAACUGAACUUUUAAUAUAUGUUAACAAAUUAAUUGGUUACUAGCAUUAAAGUUUUUACAUAUGAAUAUAAGUGAUGAGCUGGUAAUUAUUAUGCCUGUGAGAACCAUGCGUGCAUGGUUGACGGAUUGAUCGAACGAUGAUGUUUGAAUAAUCUAAGAACGUACACCGUCGUGAUCAUGGUAAGUGUGGUAUAUCAAGCCCGGGGCGGUCGAUACCUGAAAUAACGGUACGCGGCUAAUUUAGUCGGUACUAGUGUGAGAUGGAAGAUACCUCACACAAGUAGGGGACUCGGCGUCGUGAUUCCCGAAGAUAGGUAUUACCAUUGGUGGAGAUUACGACGGUUAUUAGUAUGUCUCUGCAGAGAUUAUUGCUAUAGGUUUGCGCCGGUAUAAUUCCAUCCUGCUCCUGUAAGGUAACAGGAGGCUGAAGCAUCUUUACCUUAUGCACAUUCAACUUGCAACCUACUAAUUCUUGCAUUCUUAUAUUCUUGCUGGGUAUGUCCCAACAUACUCACUAUUGUUUUCCUUUUUCCUCUGAUAUGCACAGAGUGCGCGGGAAGUGGGCAUGGUGAGGAGUUAGAGGAGCAUGAGGAAUAAGUCGACGCCUAGGCCAAGGUGUCAAAAUUAGCAGUCUUUGUUUAAUCCUUAAAUAAAGUCAGUGAAGAAUAAGAGGAAGUGCUAUCAAUACAUGUGCAUAUGCACGUGGUUGAACACUUGGCCUACUAUCUAUUAUUUGGUUAAGUGAGGGUGUAAGCUAUUAUGUAAAGAAUAAGCUGGAAUUAAAGUAUUACUUGUGCCA